rnacentral:rRNA from 1 species
UACGGAGGAUCCGAGCGUUAUCCGGAUUUAUUGGGUUUAAAGGGUGCGUAGGCGGCCCUGUAAGUCAGUGGUGAAAUACUCCAGCUUAACUGGAGGGGUGCCAUUGAUACUGCAGGGCUUGAGUGGAGUCGAAGUAGGCGGAAUUGACGGUGUAGCGGUGAAAUGCUUAGAUAUCGUCAAGAACACCGAUAGUGAAGACAGCUUACUAGGCUUCUACUGACGCUGAGGCACGAAAGUGUGGGGAUCAAACAGG